rnacentral:hammerhead_ribozyme from 1 species
GUACUGCUGAAGAGUCCCAAAUUAGGACGAAACAGUUGUCCAGUAC